GAUGAACGCUGCGGCGUGCUUAACACAUGCAAGUCGANCGAAAGGCCCUUCGGGGUACUCGAGCGGCGAACGGGUGAGUAACACGUGGGCAACCUGCCCUCAGCUCUGGGAUAACUCCGGGAAACCGGGGCUAAUACCGGAUACGACCUUCCCUCGCAUGGGGGUUGGUGGAAAGUUCUUCGGCUGAGGAUGGGCCCGCGGCCUAUCAGCUUGUUGGUGGGGUGAUGGCCUACCAAGGCGACGACGGGUAGCCGGCCUGAGAGAGCGCCGGCCACACUGGGACUGAGACACGGCCCAGACUCCUACGGGAGGCAGCAGUGGGGAAUAUUGCGCAAUGGGCGGAAGCCUGACGCAGCGACGCCGCGUGAGGGAUGAAGGCCUUCGGGUUGUAAACCUCUUUCAGCAGGGACGAAGCGAGAGUGACGGU
rnacentral:rRNA from 1 species